GACGAACGCUGGCGGCGUGCUUAACACAUGCAAGUCGAACGGCAAGGCACUGCUUUUGUGGGGUGCUCGAGUGGCGAACGGGUGAGUAACACGUGAGUAACCUGCCCUUGCCUUUGGGAUAACUUCAGGAAACUGGGGCUAAUUACGGCUAGGAGCUCCUGCUGCAUGGUGGGGGUUGGAAAGUUUCGGCGGUUGGGGAUGGAUUCGCGGGUUUUCAGCUUGUUGGUAGGGUAGUGGACUACAAAGGCUUUGACAGGUAGCCGGCCUGAGAUGGUGAUCGGCCACAUUGGGGCUGAGAUACGGCCCAGACUGCGACGGGAGGCAGCAGAGGGGAAUAAUGCACAAUGGGCGGAAGCCUGAGGCAGCAGCGCGGCGUGCGGAAUGACGGCCUUCGUGUUGUAAACCUCUUUCGCCUGUGACGAAGCGUGAGGGACGGUAAUGGUGAAAGAAGCACCGGCGAACUACGU
rnacentral:rRNA from 1 species